AUUUAAGGUCUGACCUGCCCACUGAUUUUUUUGAAGGGCCGCAGUAAUUUGACUGUGCAAAGGUAGCAUAAUCAUUAGUUUUUUAAUUAAAAGCUUGUAUGAAGGGUUGGACGAGGUAGAAUCUGUCUCUAUUUAAAUUAUUAUAGAAUUUAAUUUUUAAGUUAAAAAGCUUAAAUUUAAUUAAAAGACGAGAAGACCCUAUAGAUCUUUAUAUGAAUAAUAAUAUUUUUAAUAAAGAAUAUUUAAUUAAUUAUUAUUAUUUAUAUUUUAUUGGGGUAAUAGAAAGAUUAAUUAAAUUCNUUUUUUAUUUAUACAUUAAUUUAUGAUUAUAUGAUCCAAUAUUUUUGAUUAAAAGAUUAAGUUACCUUAGGGAUAACAGCGUAAUUUUUUUUGAGAGUUCAUAUCGAUAAAAAAGUUUGCGACCUCGAUGUUGGAUUAAAAAUUAUCUUAGGUGAAGAAGUUUAGGAUUUUGGUCUGUUCGACCAUUAAAUUUUUACAUGAUCUGAGUUCAGACCGGUGUAAGCCAGGUCGGUUUCUAUCUUUAAUAAAUUAUAAUAUUUUAGUACGAAAGGACCAAAUAUUUAAUAUAAAUAUAUUUAAUUUUUUGAAUAUUAAUAAUUACUUUGGCAGAAUAGUGUGGUGAAUUUAGAAUUCAUUAAUGUAAAUUUUUUUACAGGUAAUAUUGUUUUUUUUUGAUUUAUUAUUUUCUUUAAUUUGUAUUUUAUUAUUAGUAAUUUGUGUAUUGGUUGGUGUAGCUUUUUUGACUUUAUUAG
rnacentral:rRNA from 1 species